UGGGGAAUAUUGCGCAAUGGGCGAAAGCCUGACGCAGCGACGCCGCGUGAGGGAUGAAGGUUUUCGGAUCGUAAACCUCUGUCAGAAGGGAAGAAACCGCACUGUGCUAAUCAGCAGUGCCUUGACGGUACCUUCAAAGGAAGCACCGGCUAACUCCGUGCCAGCAGCCGCGGUAAUACGGAGGGUGCAAGCGUUAAUCGGAAUUACUGGGCGUAAAGCGCACGUAGGCUGCUUUGUAAGUCAGGGGUGAAAUCCCACGGCUCAACCGUGGAACUGCCUUUGAUACUGCUUAGAUUGAAUCCGGGAGAGGGUGGCGGAAUUCCAGGUAUAAGAGUGAAAUCCGGAGAUAUCUGGAGGAACAUCAGUGGCAAAGGCGGCCACCUGGACCGGUAUUGACGCUGAGGUGCGAAAGCGUGGGGAGCAAACAGG
rnacentral:rRNA from 1 species